AGCGAACGCUGGCGGCAGGCUUAACACAUGCAAGUCGAGCGGACCUUUCGGGGUCAGCGGCGGACGGGUGAGUAACGCGUGGGAACGUGCCUUCCGGUUCGGAAUAACCCUGGGAAACUAGGGCUAAUACCGGAUACGCCCUUAUGGGGAAAGGUUUACUGCCGGAAGAUCGGCCCGCGUCUGAUUAGCUAGUUGGUGGGGUAACGGCCUACCAAGGCGACGAUCAGUAGCUGGUCUGAGAGGAUGAUCAGCCACACUGGGACUGAGACACGGCCCAGACUCCUACGGGAGGCAGCAGUGGGGAAUAUUGGACAAUGGGCGCAAGCCUGAUCCAGCCGUGCCGCGUGAGUGAUGAAGGCCUUAGGGUUGUAAAGCUCUUUUAUCCGGGACGAUAAUGACGGUACCGGAGGAAUAAGCCCCGGCUAACUUCGUG
rnacentral:rRNA from 1 species